CAGUGAAUCAUCGAAUCUCCGAACGCACAUGGCGCCCCUUGGCAUUCCUUGGGGCAUGCCUGUUCGAGCGUCACU
rnacentral:rRNA from 1 species